UAUGCUGAGCUGUGAUGGGGAAGCUCCUUAUGGAGCGAAGUCUUUGAUUCCCCGCUGCCAAGAAAAGCUUCUAGCGAGAUAAAAGGUGCCUGUACCGCAAACCGACACAGGUAGGCGAGGAGAGAAUCCUAAGGUGUGCGAGAGAACUCUGGUUAAGGAACUCGGCAAAAUGACCCCGUAACUUCGGGAGAAGGGGUGCUUUCUUAACGGAAAGCCGCAGUGAAUAGGCCCAAGCGACUGUUUAGCAAAAACACAGCUCUCUGCGAAGCCGUAAGGCGAAGUAUAGGGGGUGACACCUGCCCGGUGCUGGAAGGUUAAGGAGAGGGGUUAGCGUAAGCGAAGCUCUGAACUGAAGCCCCAGUAAACGGCGGCCGUAACUAUAACGGUCCUAAGGUAGCGAAAUUCCUUGUCGGGUAAGUUCCGACCCGCACGAAAGGUGUAACGAUUUGGGCACUGUCUCAACCAGAGACUCGGUGAAAUUAUAGUACCUGUGAAGAUGCAGGUUACCCGCGACAGGACGGAAAGACCCCGUGGAGCUUUACUGUAGCCUGAUAUUGAAUUUUGGUACAGUUUGUACAGGAUAGGCGGGAGCCAUUGAAACCGGAGCGCUAGCUUCGGUGGAGGCGCUGGUGGGAUACCGCCCUGACUGUAUUGAAAUUCUAACCUACGGGUCUUAUCGACCCGGGAGACAGUGUCAGGUGGGCAGUUUGACUGGGGCGGUCGCCUCCUAAAGUGUAACGGAGGCGCCCAAAGGUUCCCUCAGAAUGGUUGGAAAUCAUUCGUAGAGUGCAAAGGCAUAAGGGAGCUUGACUGCGAGACCUACAAGUCGAGCAGGGACGAAAGUCGGGCUUAGUGAUCCGGUGGUUCCGCAUGGAAGGGCCAUCGCUCAACGGAUAAAAGCUACCCCGGGGAUAACAGGCUUAUCUCCCCCAAGAGUCCACAUCGACGGGGAGGUUUGGCACCUCGAUGUCGGCUCAUCGCAUCCUGGGGCUGUAGUCGGUCCCAAGGGUUGGGCUGUUCGCCCAUUAAAGCGGUACGCGAGCUGGGUUCAGAACGUCGUGAGACAGUUCGGUCCCUAUCCGUCGUGGGCGUAGGAAAUUUGAGAGGAGCUGUCCUUAGUACGAGAGGACCGGGAUGGACGCACCGCUGGUGUACCAGUUGUUCUGCCAAGGGCAUAGCUGGGUAGCUAUGUGCGGAAGGGAUAAGUGCUGAAAGCAUCUAAGCAUGAAGCCCCCCUCAAGAUGAGAUUUCCCAUAGCGUAAGCUAGUAAGAUCCCUGAAAGAUGAUCAGGUUGAUAGGUUCGAGGUGGAAGCAUGGUGACAUGUGGAGCUGACGAAUACUAAUAGAUCGAGGACUUAACC
rnacentral:rRNA from 1 species